CCCGACUGCUAUCGGAUUGAUACUAAGCCAUGCGAGUCUUUGCAGUAAUGCAAGGCAUACGGCUCAGUAACACGUAGUCAACUUACCCUAUGGACGAGGAUAAUCUCGGGAAACUGAGCAUAAUACUCGAUAGAUCAUAAUGCCUGGAAUGGUUUAUGGUUGAAAUGAUUCGUCGCCAUAGGAUGGGACUGCGGCCUAUCAGCUUGUUGGUGAGGUAAUGGCCCACCAAGGCGAUUACAGGUACGGGCUCUGAGAGGAGAAGCCCGGAGAUGGGUACUGAGACAAGGACCCAGGCCCUAUGGGGCGCAGCAGGCGAGAAAACUUUGCAAUGUGCGAAAGCACGACAAGGUUAAUCCGAGUGAUUUCUGCUAAAGAAAUCUUUUGCAAGUCAUAAAACCACUAGUGAAUAAGGGGUGGGCAAGUUCUGGUGUCAGCCGCCGCGGUAAAACCAGCACCUCAAGUGGUCAGGAGGAUUAUUGGGCCUAAAGCAUCCGUAGCCGGCUCUGUAAGUUUUCGGUUAAAUCCAUGUGCUCAACGCAUGGGCUGCCGAAAAUACUGCAUAGCUAGGGAGUGGGAGAGGUAGACGGUACUCGGUAGGAAGGGGUAAAAUCCUUUGAUCUAUCGAUGACCACCUGUGGCGAAGGCGGUCUACCAGAACACGUUCGACGGUGAGGGAUGAAAGCUGGGGGAGCAAACCGGAUUAGAUACCCGGGUAGUCCCAGCUGUAAACGAUGCAGACUCGAUGAUGCAUUGGCAUAUAGCCAGUGCAGUGUCGCAGGGAAGCCGUUAAGUCUGCCGCCUGGGAAGUACGUACGCAAGUAUGAAACUUAAAGGAAUUGGCGGGGGAGCACCACAAGGGGUGAAGCCUGCGGUUC
rnacentral:rRNA from 1 species